GUUGAUUUUUUUUUAAAAAUAUGAUGCAUCGGCACAAUUGCAGUGGGAGAAAGAAGCAGCAGCUCUCUUCCCUCCCUCUUUCUCUCUGUUUUUCUCUUUGGCUCGCUCUCUCCUUCUUGUCACAGAGAGUAAAUCUGCAGGCGUGCAGCACGACCGGCUUUAAUGGCAUUCCAGUUGCAAAAAGGGCGUCAAAAUGUAGCAUCAGAGGAUAGCAGAGGGGCAGAUGCAUAUAGGCGUGUGAGUGGAAAUGGGGCAUGGAGCCAUGGGCGGGACGGCUGGGAGGAGAGGAGGCAGCCAGGGUGGCACGCUGACUGGAGGAGUGCCAACCGCCCUCAUCCAGCAUGCGACAGGCAUGGACAGUAAUGCCUGUGUGAUUGGGCUGUGCUGGGUGAUGAUUUUAAUAAACACACGCACGUCGAGGAGGCCACAGGUCAACAGUGUUUGGAUUCAUCAGCCGCACAGGUGGAAGAAUACUGAUGCAUUGCCUCCCAGCUCUACAUCACUGCUUGUCUCUGAUCAGUUUCCAGUAAGCAACAUGCAGGGAAUGAGCUGGGUCCCAGUAGAGGUGCUUCUUACAACAGGGGGGACUCCCAAACCUAAUAUCCACAACACAGAGCCUACUGCUGUAAAGCUCCUCAGCUUCUCUUCCCCUCCCUCUCGUCUGUCAGUCUGUCUGGCACCUCGAGCGCCACUAAGCCGUCAACCAGUGUCAAAACGUACAGCGCUGGAACAGUGGCUCUGCUGUGUUUAGUGCUGAAGCAUAUAUUUUCCUGCUCUGACAUCCUCACACUGAGCAGCGGAAAGAAUGGAAGAUGAAUACCACAGAUGGAGUCGACACAAACAAGGCUGAGCAUGGUGGAAGAAAAACAGAAAAAGAGAGAGUGAGAAAAAGAGGGAGAGAGAUCGGAUUUCCAUUCCACACUGGAUCACUGGAGUGGAGUCUAAAACCACAGAGUGCGCUGGCACUGGACAAAAAGGCUGGAUUCAAUAAAUAUGUGGACUAAGCUCUCCUAUUCAGACCCCGCAGUAUUGAAUUCCUUAUUUAGGUCAUUUAGACUGGGCAAAAUUGAUACAGUAUGCAGCUCAAAUCUAUAGCUCCAUUUUUUUUUCUUCUCCUUCUCUCUCUGUCUUUGCCUUUCUAAAUAAAAAAAGAGAUGAGAGGGAAGCCAGCGUGUGUGGGAGUGCAAGGACAGCAGCAAAAGAAGUUAAAAAAAAAAAAAACGAAGAAGAAGAGUGAGGGGAUUUUUUUCUCUUUCUUUGCAGGACUGUGAAUGUUUGUAUGUUUUUGUCAAGAAUGACAAAGAAAAAGAGGUCAGAAAUUAGAAAGGGGGCGUGAAAUGUAAAAAAACAAAUUGAAUGAAUGAGAUUGACAAAGUGAUCCAGAGACUGUGUGUGUGUGUGUGUGUGUGUGUGUGUGUGUGUGUGUGUGUGUGUGUGUGUGUGUGUGUGUGUGUGUGUGUGUGUGUGUGUGUGUGUGUGUGUGUGUGUGUGAGUGAGUGAGAGAGAGAAAAAGAUAGGUGGUAUUUUGACAUUUUAUUAGAGACUCAAUGAGGUCUGCACAAGACAAUGCUCUCCUGCCUCCUCGUUUAGCCUGAUCUUAAUUGGCCAUUAGAUUGAAAAAUAGCCUAUACCUUCUUUCCUGCUCCUCUCCACUCCUCUUCUCCUCCUCUUCUCUGCAGCUUCAGAGCUGAUUAGACCUUUGAUUUACUAAUAAACACAAAGAAACAGAUUAACUCCAGAGCUGAGGCGGCAUCAGACAUGCUUAACUGUGUCUGGAAUAGGAAAUACCAGCCGAGGCCUCAACACUCCCUGAAACCUGUCUGAUUUUAGAUGAAAGUAUUGUAAUUUAAAGCAUCUUGACACUAAAAAUAACACUGACAAAGACAUGCUUUAGUGUGCCUUGAAUAGGGAUAAACUGGUCUUCACAUCUAAUGGAAAUUCAUCUGAGUUCGUAUUUGCUCUUCUGUGUUUUAAGGUUGGUUGACAGCACAAUAUCAACAACAUGACAAAAAUCAAACUGUUUUGGAACUUAUCAUAAAGCUCUAAGUUCUGCUCCCUAAUGCCAAGCCAUUCCAAGCUUAUACUAACCUGCUGUUUUUGGUUUGUUAUGCAGCCCUUAUCUUCCAUAGCUGCAGAUGACUGUACUGCCUGGUUGCUCUAUCUAUUUUCGUUGUUGUUGUGUUUUCUGCAAAACUCACACUGGGCUCUUAUGAUAAAUAAGACUUUACCCACAAUGAGAGGAACUCAAUCAGUGCUUGUGUUGGCUGAGAGUGAGAAAGACAGGGAUAAUUACUCACUAAAUAGGCAAUCACCGAGGUGGCGCCCACACAAUCAAGCCUGCAUGUGUAUUUUGGGGAGCUUCCAUAGAACUGCUGGCCAAAAGCCUCAGAAAAUGAAGAACCAAGUCACAACCUAGGUGAACAACAGUCCCAUCGGGCUAAUUCUGUAACCCCAGGUCACAUGUAAGGUUAGAAUCGGUCAUUAAAAGGUUGUAUAUCAAAUUGGAAAUCACAUGUCUGAUGCAAAGUGAGAGGAGACAGUCCUGAGUCAGGGGUGGUGGAAGAAGAGUGAGCCAUUCCUACAAUUUCUUCCAAGCAGAAAAUGGAUUUAGUUUUUCUGUGUUCUCAGUAGGUUUUUGUGUUAUUUUCAUUUCUUUGAUAACUACUGUAAAUCAGUUUGCUUUUGUGACUUUGAAGGGAAUUAUUUCAAUCUUAAACUUGACUCAUGACCAAAUAGGUUACUGAACUAAAAAUAAAUAAAUAAAUAAAUAAACAACAGGAGUUGGAGAGACAUCAAUUUAAAUUGCUAUGCAAUGUGAAAGUUUUCUGACAUUUUGAUGGAAUGUAAUGACCAAACACCCAUAGCAAACCAGACAAAAGGAACCAGGCAACCAAAAUAUGUUACUAUAGUUUGAAAAACAAACUGUUGGUGUUAAGGUUAAAGUCAUGUUAAGAUACAGAACAUGUGGGUAACUUCUGAUGCAGUUUUUAAUACAAAACAUAGUACUUUAACCUGCAUGAGUAGAUGUCCAUCCAUCCAUCCAUCCAUCCAUUCUCUAUACACCGCUUAAUCCUCAAUCGGGUCACAGGGGGGCUGAAGUCUAUCUCAGCUGACUCGGGCGAAGGCAGGGGACACCCUGGACAGGUCACCAGUCUGUCGCAGGGCAUGAGUAGAUGUUUGUAUUGUUUUUCCCAGUUGAUCAGACUACUCCAUAGAAAAUUAUCCAGCUGUUUAUUUCUCCACAGCCCUGUGAAGCAUUUUAGCAUCUGUUUUAGCUGUGUGGCCAGUAACUUUGUGCAACUGUGUAUCUCGUCACAACAGUCUUUUUCAACAAAAAUAGCAACAAACACUACUGUAAACACAUUUUGCGGCUAGCUAAUUAACAUAGAAGUAAAGCUAAAUGUUAGGGAAGACUAAAACAAAAAGGACAUAGAAUCUCAAACUUGCAUUCAUUAGGUAUAUCCCAAAAUGACUCCAACUGAAGGAUACUUUUGCUCUUUAUCUGCUGAAUAUGUAGUUACUCAGUGUUGCACAUGUAAAAUUGCAAACACUGUGUGUGUCUACGGUGACUACCCACUGCCACUUGUGGCUACAAUUGUAAUUGCAUCAACAGCCAUAUUUCCGUAAGGAAAAAAUCUUCCUGAAAACCCAGGUAGCUUAGACAUAGUAAUGGCAGCUCCGCCAAUUGUAUUUCAAUACUUCUUCUAACACUUAACAAAACACUUCAUAUAAUAUUUCAGGUACAACUUGUUUGGCCUGUAAUGCAGUUAGAAAAGCCAGUGUAUAAAUUGCCAUUACUUGUACCUGUACUGUAUUGUUGUAGUUGGUGUUUUGUGAUGGUACCCAGGCCCUUUAAAUGCCUCAACUGUCUUUUUUUUGAACAUGCCAGUAUUAGACAUAAAAUCCCUAGUAGUAUAUAUUAUUUACUAAUAUUUGAUCUUAUUUUAAUAAAAAAUCAGUUUCAGUUUACCAUUGAUGCUGUUUGCUCCUACAGCAAACUCUCUCUCCAUGUACACUUGCUGUUGUCAAAAAAAGCCUCCCAGUGACUCAAAGGGCUAAACCAUUUUUCUGAGGCUUUUCAGAAGAAAGUUCUGCAGAAUAGAAUACUUUACUGAGAGCAGUUUAAUAAUGAUCAAGAAAAUGACAACGUAGAAUCUACUGGAAUGAAUUAGUGGAAGAAACUGUAUUUUUCUGAACAACAAAAUGGUGAGUAUUAAUACUUAUGUUUUAGUUAUUAGGUUUUGCCGAAUUUAAUGUUUUUCAAAUAAAAGCUUUUAUUUGAGAAUUUGUGUGCAGUGGCUAGAAGUGUGAUUAUUGAAAAAUAUUGAUAACUGUGCCUAAUUUUGGCAGCACAAAAACAUUUUUUGUUCAACCUUUUAAAGAAACAAAAAAAGAACUCGUAUAAAUUGUAAAUUAUUUUUAUUCAGCAUACAGCUUGUCCAUCUAAUCAACUACAAAUAGUGCUUAAUUACGUUGACUAAAAUAUGAAUCUGUCAAAUACAGACUCAGUAUCUGCCUUAAACAGAUAGUUAAGUGCAUACAAUUUAAUGACAGUAUCUGAAUAGAAAGCAUAUUUGCAUACUGUAAUAUACAUUAUUACUGAGCAAUUAUUAAUUGGCAUCUCGCCAGAGAAGACAAGCUCCUCAGUGUGGGUGGUAGUAGAUGUUUCUAAUUGAAGUCUGUAAGAGACUCAUCAAAUUUGGCAUGAACACAUAAUUCACUAAAUGGUUAUUGAUUUCACAGAAGCUGUAUCAGCAACAAAAUACCUUUCAGUUAACGGUGACAAUGCCAAUAAAGUUUUCAUUUAGUCUUUGAAGCUGCUGACACAGAAAAACCUCAGUACAAAGGGCUAAAUGGUCAUCUGUAUGUUGAACAAGGCAGAAUGGCAAAAAUCCAUGUAUGCCAAUGAUGAAAUAUUAAAAAUAUAUUUUUCUUCAUUCCUAUAAAUCUUGCUUAGGAAAACAUGCUUCCAACAGAUAGAUAGCAUUUACAUACUGAGAUAAAGUUUUCGAUACAGCAAGAAUGAUAUGCUAUUCAUGUAUUUUCUAUGCUUUCCCCUACUUUCCCUAUUUAUAUUUGUUAUGAUGAGACAUGCUGUCAAAUUUUCUGGAAUGAUUUGAUAUAGCCCUCGGCAAGUACAUUUGUGCUGCACAACAUCCUGUAUCUUUCAGUGUGUGUGUGUGUGUGUGUGUGUGUCCUGCAUGCUUCUAUAAAGUAGCAUCCUGGUUUAACUUGCCUCAUAGACUGUUAAACAGACGAUUAGUUUCACAAGGCAACAUCUUUUAAACUUUGAUGACUGGGUUUUCUUCGGUUUAUGCAGAGCAUCGGUGUGGCACAUAUAACUGUACAGGUGUAUUUAUGUGCGUCUAUAAUUGUAGGUGAGUGCACACAAUAUAUGCUGUCUGUGAACUUAAAUCUACCCAUUUAGACAUAAAGCAUACAGAAACAAAACCUUUUUGCAUGACUUUUACCAAUGUUAUGAAGUGCAAGCUUUUUUUGGACUCACUGGAUAUUUAGAUGUGUUCAGUCAAUCAAUCAAUCAAUCAAUCAAUCAAUCAAUCAAUCAAUCAAUCAAUCAAUCAAUCAUUAAAAAAGAAACAACAGAAAGUGCCUGUUAUUCUAGCUAUCUUUAUAAAAGUCUUAAACUUUGUAGCCCAUCACUGUCAGAAUAUUGUUAGGUAUAUGAGCAACAAGCUAUAUUAAUGAAACCAAAUAUUAAAGCAAAAUCUUAACAUUUCCCUGAAAUUAAACAUGUCUGAUCUGAUAGGCUGAUCUGCCCCAAACCAAUCAAAUCAAAACCCUGAAAUCUGUCAUCUGUCUUUCUGAAAACAACAUAGUAUAUUCUAAAACACAAUGGCCCGGUUUCACAGACAAGGCUUAUAUCAAGUCAGGAGUAGGCCUAAGUCAGACUAGUAAAGCUAGGUCAUUUAAGUGGCUUGCAUGAACGUGGCUUACAUUUGUCUUAGUUUGUCCCAGACUGUGGAGUCCUGGAGUAAGCUUAAGCGAGAACACCUGCGUCAAGCCUCAUUAGCCUAAGUGGGAGCACAGCCUGUUAGCCUAUUGAUGAUCAUAAAAACCUGGAAUGGAAUUGAGGACAGCUUUGCUGGAGGGAAUUCUGGCACCAAACAUGGCUGAAGGUAAAAGAAAACUCUCAAAGAACUAUACUGAAUAUGAAAAAACUCUACUUAAACAGAUUGUGGGAACUCAUGCUGUUAUUGAAAGUAAAGGCCAUAGUGCUGCUAUUGAACAAAGGAAGAGGAGGGCUUGGGCUGCCAUUUGUAGUGAAUUCAAUGCAAAUGCAAAUGUAACCACAAGAGCGGUACAGCAACUGCAGGUGAGACAUGUUGAUUAUGACCUGUAUAUCACAGAUCUCAUAUAGUUUUGUGACAUUGUUUAUAUUGAAUGAUAUCUGCCUUCAUAGACUCUGUGGAAGAACAUCAAAUUAGAUUUGAAAAAAAAAACUGCAGUGGCCCGAAGAGAGAGAUUUACUACUGGUGGUGGACCCCCACCUACUAAAGACAAGUGAUGAAUUGGCUGACUUGUUGACUGGGAUAAUAGAGGACCAGCAACCUCUGGAUGGUAUACUAGAUGAUGACCAUUUGGACAGUGGACAUGAAGAACUGAGCACAAAUGAGGAAAUCAUUUUAACCCUGGUGGAAGAGCCAGUGCACAGUGACUGUGCACCCUCCACAUCUGGUACGGCAUCCCAGAGAAAAGAUACUGCCACCACCUUCCCGCAGAGACCAAAAAAGAUGUCCAUGCAUGAAAAGUUAGCCUUAGAAUUUCAUGAGCUGAAAAUGAAAUAGCUGAAAGAAGAGCAUGAGAUGAAAAUGAGAAUUCUACAGGUUGAAUUAGAUAUGAAAUUAGAAGAGAGAGCUAUUCAAAGAAAGAUGCAUGAGACAGCUAUGUAGUGUAAUGAAAUAUCUUGUGAAAAUAAAUUGUGAGUGAUUGUGAAAUUGUGAGAGAGUGAGUAAUGUAAACACCACUACCUACAUUUUAGAACAGCCUUGGUUAAGUUUCCCAUUUAAUUUUUCUGCACACUAUUUAUAUAUGUUGUACACAAAAAACACUAUUAAGGCAAAAACAAGCCAUAAUCAAUGCCUUCAAUGGUGAAAUGUAUUUUUUUUUUCUAACUAAAGUGCUGCAAUGUGAAAGCAGCUCUGAGCGCAAGUCCUCCUUGGUUAUUUCCUGCCAUGGGCAUGGGCACAUCUGGAUCAUUCUGGUCUUCCAUUGGAGGGUCAGGACAGUUAUGCUGCUUCAGGUAGUUGUGCAGCACAGCUGUAGCAAUGAUCACCUUGCAGCAUCUUCUUGGCUCAAAGUGAAGUGUAUUGCGCAAAGACUGGAAUCGAUUCUUCCACACUCCAAACAUGUGCUCGACCAACCCUCUAGUGCGAAUAUGAGCUCUGUUGUAUCUUUGCUGCUCAGUUGUUGUGGGAUGUGGCCAUGGUGUGAAUAAAUAGGAACUCUGAGCAUAUCCACUGUCACCAAGUAGUAGUCCACUAUGUUGCCCUCUCUCAAACUGAGCACACAAUGAAGAGUUGUGAAAAAUCCUUGAAUCAUGUGUUGCUCCUUUCCAACAGGCAACAAUGUUAGAAAACUCUAAAUUGGGAGUACAUACAGCCUGGACAUUGAUGGAAAACCAGUUCUUACGGUUCCUGUACUCCUCAGCAUCAGGAGUUGAUGGACACUUGAUUUCAAUAUGACAUCCAUCUAUACAGCCAAUCACUCCCGGGAAGUUUCCAUAUUCAUAGAAACUUACUUUAUAGUUGGCUUGCUCAGCAGCAUCAGGGAACUUAAUGUACAGAUUUCUCAGUUCACAAAUGGCACUGCAGACAUUGUGAACUAUUCUACAGACUGUUGCUUCACUGACACCACACAAAUCACCAGUCUCACGAUGAAAGGUUCCAGAUGCCAAGAAUCUCAAAGUGAUCAGAACUUGAAGAGAACUUGGUACAGGCCUUCCUCUCUGAGACAUGGAGGAAAGUCUAGGCUCAAGCAAUGUAAUGAUCUCCAAUGCAUCUUCUUUGUACAUACGGAAGCGGUCUCGGAAAGUUAUUUCAUCGUACUGAUUCAAUGGAUUGCUCCUGUCCACAAGUAUUUGUCUGGCUGGCCUCUGUAGUGAAUACUGGUCUUCAUUUAGAUAUUCCAAAUACUCCAUGCUCCCAAACCAUCUGUGCUCCCUUUCACAAACAGUACUAAGCUGAAGUUAAACCUGCCUCUUUGCAGGAUUAAUAUAAACUACAAUUUAGUCCAAGAGUAGCUCUAAUCUACCCUCUUGCAAUUGGCUUUGUUUAAUCCAGAACAGACUAAAUCUAUGACUAUUUUAAGAUAGGUUUGUGCAAGUGACUUAAAGUUAAGCAAGCUCAAACAGCAUUUUAGUCUGGGAUUAGGCUUAAGCCUUGUCUGUGAAACCGGGCCAAUGACUAUAACUAGCAGUUGCCAUUGGAAGCUAUAACCUUCUUAAUCUAACCAAGUUAAACAACUGUUUAGCAUGAUUUUACAAAUGUUGUGAGCAUACUAAAACUGAAAGCUCCAUGAGUUCAAGUGCUUACAUCAUUACUCUCUUCUGAAAGUAUUGUUCAAACAUACACUGCUCAGAAAAAUUAAAGGAACACUUUGAAAAUACAUCAUAUUUCAAUACGGGGAAAAAACAAACUGGAUCUUAGCAUUGAUAUGGACUGGAUAAUGUGUUAGGCAUGAAAAAUGCCACAUUGUUUGAUGGGAAUGAAAACCAGGAGGGCUAAAUUCAAGACACCCCAAAAUCAUAGUAAAAAACUGAUGUGGCAGACUAGUCCAUCUUGCUGAAAUUCCUUGGCAGCAACUCAAAAUGGUAUUCAGCAGUUUGUAUGGUCUCCAUGUGCUUGUAUGCAUGACUGACGAUGCCGGGACAAGCUCUGAAUGAGACGACAGAUGGUGUCCUGGGGUAUCUCCUCCCAGAACUGGACCAGGGCAUCGCUGAGCUCCUGGACAGUCUGAGGAGCAACCUGAUGGUGUCAGAUGGAACAAAACAUAAUGUUCCAAAGGUGUUCUAUUGGAUUCAGGUCAGGUGAGCGUGGGGGCCAGCUAAUGGUAUCAGUUCCUUCAUCCUCCAGGAACUGCAUGAGUUCUCUUACCACAUAAGACUGGGCAUUGUUGUGCACCAGAAGGAAUCCAGGACCACUGCACCAAUGUAGGGUCUGACAAUGGGUCAAAGGAUUUCAUCCUGAUACCUAAUGGCAGUCAGAAUGCCAUUGUCCAGCCUGUAGAGGUCUGUGCGUUCCUCCAUGGAUAUGCCUCCCCACACCAUCACUGACCCGCAACCAAACCGGUCAUGCUGAACAAUGUUACAGGCAGCAUAACGUUCUCCACGGCUUCUCCAGACCCUUUCAUGCCUGUCACAUGCGCUCAGGGUGAACCUGCUCUCAUCUGUGAAAAGCACAGGGCACCAGUGGUGGACUUGCAAAUUCCUGUGUUCUAUGGCAAAUGCCAGCCGAGCUCCACGGUGCCAGUCAGCGAGCACAGCAGGCACUAGAGGACGCUGGGCCCUCAGACCUCUCUCAUUAAAUCUCUUUCUGAUUGUUUGAUCAGAGACAUUCACACCAGUCGUCUGCUGGAGGUCAUUUUGUAGAGCUAUUGCAGUGCUCAUCCUGUUCCUCCUUGCAUAAAGGAGCAGAUAGCUGUCCUGCUGAUCAGUUGAGGACCUUCGACAGCCCUGUCAAGCUCUCCCAGACUGACUGCCUGUCUCCUGGAAUCUCCUCCAUGCGCUUGAGAAUGUGCUGGGAGACACAGCAAACCUUCUGGCAACGGCACGCAUUGACGUGCCAUCCUGGAGGAGUUGGACUGUCUGUGGAACCUCUGUAGGGUCCAGGUAUUGCCUCAUGCUAGCAGAAGUGACACUUACCCUAGCCAAAUUCAAAACUAGUGAAAAACAGUCAGAAAACAUUAGGAAGGGAAAAAAAUGUCAGUGGCCUUCACCUGUAAACUCAUUCCUGUUUUGUGGGUUGUCUCUUUGUUACCCCUCUGGUGCAUCUGUUGUUAAUUUUAUGAACACCAAAGCAGCUGAAACUGACUUAAAAGCCCCUCAGUUACUUACUUGACCAGAUCAGUAUCCCACAUGUUUCACUGAUUUGAUGCUAUACUUAGAUUAAAAAAAAAUUCCUUUAAUUUUUUUGAGCAGUGUACAUACAUGCAAAUACGUAACCUUUCACAGUUACAUGUAGACACAUCUGUUGUAACCGAGCCGUAGUCUUUAACUCAUGCUGCUGGUGUCUGACUGAAGGGAAAGGCAGUUUAAUUUUUUCUCUCUCUUUUUUGUACUAUCAACCUCUUUUAAACAUGUGGAAUUAGUAGUACUACAAAUGUCAAUGGGAUUGACUGGAAGUAGAAAUUUUCUAACAUAAAACAGAACCCUGAAGCUUCAAUUCAUUUUGGCAUUCUAUUUUCAGUCGUCACACACAUUUAGUCUGUUUCACUAAUUAGCCAGAAUCUACUUACAAAAAACUAGCUCAUGAAAUAAUCAUAAAAUCGACAGUCCACCAGUCAUAUGACAGAUAUUUUGAAACAGCUUUUCCUGACAACAUAUUGCAUUUUCAAACUUACUUACAAUUAACUUACUGAAAACAAUUUGUUUUUACACACAGCCUGUUUCUUUUAAUGUAUUGUAUGCAUACACCCUUGGGCAUGUGCAAAAGCUCAGUGUUUGUGUUGGAGUAAGGUAUAGUUAUUUUUGAGGAGAUCCUUCCUGAGAAAGAAAGGCCAGACCUUGGAAUGGUUUAAUCAAUAGAGGAAUGUUCUCUGUAAUGAAGUGUGUCAGCUUCUUAACAGGACUAAAACCUUCAUCAAGUCAAUGAGGAGGGGAGAGUUAAACCUGAGGCCCAUCUGAAUAAUCACGCUGCCUUAUUGACUGGCCGCAAGACGAGGCGAAUGCCAAACACCGGCAUGGUCAAUCACACACACAAACACCGACACGCAGGCAAAGAUUAGAGACUACAUCUCAAUAAACAGACACACACGAAUGAAGCUAAGUUACACAAUCAAAUGCAAAACCUGCACUUGAUCUAGUGUGUGGCUGUAGAUAUAAUUAGGAAAGUAUGAACGAGUAACAUCUGGACUAUAUUACUCUAGUCACAGUGAAAUCUUGGUGGGAUCUCGCCUCUUGUGUAGGCACUGUAUGUGAAGUAUUUUGAUCGGGUGAAAGAUAGACAUCAAUCAAAGUCCAACUUUGAAACUACACUGUCAAUUUCAAACUUGAAAAAGCCACUGGCAAAACAAUCCCAAGUCAAGGUCCACCUACUUGCUGAUUUGUUUGACCACAUUGCCAUGUCUUCAUCAGCAGAGGGGUUUUCUUAGUUGUCAAGAGACUGAAGGGGAUGGACUUUUCGGUUAUUUUUAUUUAUUUGUUUGUUUUAGCAUUUUUCAGGAAUUCUCAUUCAUUUUGUCUGAAAGGUUGAGCUUCACAUUUCAUUCUUGACCUUAGAAAUAACACCUGAAAAAUCUCUCACUUCCUCAUUUUAAGUACUACAAAUAAGCCUUCAUGAAGGAAAACACAACAAUAAAAUAGCAGGAGGAUUUUUUAAAAAGUAAAAUGACCUCUUUCUUUGUGAACUGCUGCUGCAGUUGUACCUCUUUUAUUUGUUGUGGAACAUUCAUUUCCAUUAACACCCCCCUCUCAAAAAAUAAAAAUCUGUCAAUUCGAAGUAUCACAUUAGUUUACUUGAAGUUGUUAUUUCAGCCAAUCAGUAUUCAGCAGAGGCACAGGGUUUGAAUUGUAUCAGGAGCAACAUCUCCCGAACACAGUUUGCACUCAUGUAAUCCACAAUUAUCAUACUCCCAUGUUGACGCUUUACUGUCAGGAGUGUGCAUUUACUGUGGUAGCUAUGGCCAGGUUUGCACAAAACAGAUGUUGUACUGAAGACCAAGCAAGCACUGUUUCUUGGACAAUAUUUAUACGGGUGGUUAUCAUACAAUGUCCUUCACUUGAUCUCAUCUGUCAUAAGAAGUCUGACAAAACUUUGAGGAUGACUGGAGCUUUGUGACCAGAGGAAUAUGGCUGUUAGUAGGCUGGAUAUAUUAGGCAGCAAGUGAACAUUUUGUCCUCAAAAUUAAUGUGUUAGAAGCGGGGAAAAUGGGCAAGCAUAAGGAUUUGAGCAAGUCUGACAAGGGCCAAAUUGUGAUAGCUAGAUGAUUGGGUCAGAGCAUCUCCAAAACUGUAGUUCUUGUGUGGUGUUCCCAGUCUGCAGUGGUCAGUAUCUAUCAAAAGUGAUUCAAGGAAGAAACAGUGGCGAAUCGGGAACAGGGUCAUGGGUGGCCAAGGCUCCCUGAAGCACAUAAGAAGUGAAGGCUAGCCCGUGUGGUCCCAUCCAACAGAUGAGCUACUGUUGCUCAAAUUGUUUAAGAAGUUAAUGCUGGUUCUGAUAGAAAGGUGUCAGAAUACACAGAGCCUCACAGUUUGUUCUGUAUGGGGAUGCAUAGCCACGGACCAGUCAGGGUGUCAAUGCUGACCCCUGUGCACCUCCAGAAGCACCAACAAUAGACGUGAGAACAUCAGAACUGGACCACGAAGCAAUAGAAGAAGGUGGCCUAGUCUAAUGAGUCAUAUUUUCUUGUACAUCACAUGGAUGACCAUGUGCAUCGCUUACCUGGGGAACACAUGGCACCAGGGUGUACAAUAGGAGGAAAGCAAGCUGGGAGAGGCAGUGUGAUGCUUUGGACAAUGUUCUGCUGGAAAACCUUGGGUCCUGCCAUCCAUGUGGAUGUUACUUUGACAUGUACCACCCACCUAAGCAUUGUUACAGACCUUAUACACCCUUUCAUGGAAACAGUAUUCCUUGAUGGUUGUGACCUCUUUUAGCAUGAUAAUGUGCCAUGCCACAAUGCAAGAAUUGUUCAGAAAUGGUUUGAGGAGCACAACAACAAGUUUGAAGUGUUGAGUUUGAGCCUCCAAAUUCCCCAAAUCUCAAUCCAAUUGAGCAUCUGUGGGAUGUGCUGGACGAACAAGUCUGAUCCAUGGAGGCCCCAUCUCGAAACUUCCAGGAGUUAAAGGGUCUGCUGCUAACAUCUUGGUGCCAGAUACCACAGCACACCUUCAGCGGUCUCGUCCAUUCCUCAAAAGGGCAGGGCUGUUUUGGAUCAUUUUAUGACAUUUCUUGAGUAUAAAUGAAACAGAAAAUUCCCAACCCUAUUCUCUGAUGAGUAUUUUGCUUUGUUGGGUAAUUAGCUAGCUCUCUCCAGUCCUUUGCAUGUUUUUUUGGUUUUUUUUUAAACUGCUAAUCAUGCUGAUAUAUGAGGUAGUGAGCAGGUGACAGCUCUUCAGAGACUAAAUCGAUAGGAUAAUAAACAAACAUGUUUAUGACCCCACUAAAAUUAAGAAAGUGUGGACAUAACCAGCUCUGAAGACAACCUUCAUAAACACUGUUCAGGAGCAAACUCCAACAUGGCUGCCAAAAAGGGUGUUAUGUGACAUGAAAGCUUUAAUCCAGCACUGUAUAUUCACAUAAAUAAACAUACACCAAAGCUUGUGAACAGUGAAUAAUAACACCAACUGAUCUGCAUAUGAAAACAGUGUGAUGCAUAAGCUCUCACUUUCUCACCAUGCAACACGCACACACACACACACAUGCGCGUGCGCACACACACACACACACACACACACACACACACACACACACACACACACACACACACACACACACACACACACACACACACACACAAACUCUGUCUCUCCGUCUCCCUCUUUCUUAUCCACACAUCCAGAAAAGCUGGUCAUCACUCCCUCUGUCUUCACUCAUCUUUCACCACCCUCCUCUCCUCUCCCUGUCUUCCAUUGAUCUCUCUCUCAUUGGACUCAUCACUCUGCAUUCUCUGCAGACAAAGAGCAACCGCAGGAUGACAAUCACAUUAGAGCACACAAUCUAUUUAUGGCUUUGCCUCAUAUUUCAACUCCAUUCUUUCUGUCUCUCUCUCUCACACUUAAAUGCGUGCACACACACACACACACACACACACACACACACACACACACACACACACACACACACACACACACACACACACACACACACACACACAGAUACACGCACACACACACACAUACACACACACACACACUCUACUCUCACUCUUUUCUCUCGUGCUCUGUGAUAAUAUAAAUGCAGGGUUUUUAGUGGUAAUGAGUUUUUAAUGAAAAAUGAAUUAUUUACAGUGGCUGGAGGACAGAAGAUAAAAAGAGAGAAGAGCAGGUGAUAUCAAAGCUGUGAAAAUAAUGUUAUAGUAAAGUUCAUUAAAGUUUACUUUUGAUACGCUGAUGACUGCAUAGAUUAUAAGUAGAUUACGCUGGAUGUUUUUGAUAGACAAAAACACACACAUUUUGAUUGAUUUGGUAGGCUCUGGUUCAUCUCAUCUUCAGUGAAGUUAACUGCCGAGCAGGUUCACAAGUCACGAGGAGAAGAUUGAUUGCCUUUGACAGUUUCAGAAUGUAGUGUACAGCCUUCCUCAAGAGACAUCACAGGUGUCAGUGUGAUAUGAAGUGCUAGGCGGUUAAAUGCUUGUCUUUCUGAAGUGGUGAAGACUGAACACCUUUAUGUUGCCUGGCAGUUUGAAAAAAUAAAUAAAUAAAUAAAUUGUUGCUUUUUUAGUUGUUGUUGUUGCAUGUUUAGCAUUUAAUUAGAAUAUUUUACAGUUAUGCCAUUAAAGAUGCAGUCAGCUGAAAUAAAAAAGCCGACUGCACUGGCAUCUUUGCCUAAAAAAGGCCAAAAUAAAAAUUAUAAUAAUAAAUUGAACAAUAUGCUAUUUGUCCUGAUGUAAACUUUGAAAAAUAGGAUUUCAGAUUUAUUAUACUAAAAACAAGCACAGUAGAAAUCCAGUGCAACAAAAGUUACUACAGGAAUCUGAAUCUUUUAUUUCAAUGCUCCCCAUGUCCACUUUUAUUUUCAAUGACAGACUCAAUCCUCUUCAGCACAGAAAAUAACAGCGUUUUUACCAAAUUUCCUGGAAGAUGUUCUACCAUUCUUCAGAGACAUGUUUUUACAGUUGUGCUUUGCUGGAGGGGUUCUGUUCCUCUACCUUUCUCUUUAAAGUACCCCAAAGUUGUUCUAUUGGAUUUAGGUCAUACAGAGUACCUGGUCAGGUCAUAGUUUUCACUUUUUUCUACUUUCAAAACCCUUGUGUAAUUUUGGCAGUGUGCUUUAGAUCGUUAUGCUGGAUUAUUUCUAUUCCACCAUGGCUCUGCAGACUGGGAGUCAUCUUGUCAGACAGUAUUUUGGUAUAUCCACAGGCAUUCAUAGCGUCAUCUAUAAAUGUCUUCUCCUCAGCACCUUUUGCACUCAUUCAGCUCCAUAUCAUCAUAUUCCCACCUUCGUACUUCACUGUUGGUACUGUGCAUUCACUGUGGUAGUCCUGGCCAGGUUUACACAUGUUACACAGGACACAAUCUGAGGGGAAGAAGUCUAUCCUGGUCUCAUCUGACUAAGGUAUUUUAGCAAAGUCUACAUCUAAUUUUGCAGUUUUGGGCUGAAGAGCAAACAAGUGUUUCUUUGUUGUUGUUUUCUGUACAUGUUGUAAAUUAAAGUCCUGAAAAAAAUACACCAAACCAAAAAUGUACAGCCCUCCACCUGCAAUUUGUCCCUCUCCCCUCUAUGCACCCCCCACCAUACAUUCCAAGCUCCAAGUCUACAGUUAUUUGUGGCUUCACACAUGAUUUAAAACCCCAGCCUCCAAGUGACAGCCCUCUGUCUGAACCAUUGCACCAUCGCCUCCCGCUUUAUGUGGACUUUGUUCAUAUUUGUAUACAUCUCAUGUGAUUGUUGAAAAGCCAUGGGACAGGCUAAAAUCUCACAACAUGGGUUACGUUUUCUAAAACCUGAUAAAGGACCCAGGAGAAGGUGCAGAAGUCUACCUUCCUCUUGAACAACUUGAAUUACAAUAAGCUGAAAGAUUUGUAUUAAAGUUUUUUGCCCAGCAAAACCAAGAAAUACUACCUAUGCCCACUUUUACUCCAAUAAAUAGGCAUUGAAAUGGCUAUGUUUUUUAUGAAAAUAUAUAUUUUGACUUAAGCUGAUGAGAUAAAAGCAUAAUUUCACAUGGUCAGAAUAUAAAAUGUCAGUGCAUCAAGCAUCAGGAGAAAAAAACUUCAUCAGCUUGAAGGGUAAACCAUUUCUUAACUCAUAGAGCAUCACAUUUUUCACUGCAGGUUGCACUUAAGGUGGAAACCAGCCCUUAUCAAGAAUCUUAAUCACAUUUGUGCAUGAAUACCUCAAUCUAUAUAUCUGAAAAUACAGACUUCUCCUUCCUCCGAGAUCUUGAGAUAUAUGAAUUACAAUUAAUAGCAACAAGAAACAACAUUUCAAAUAUAGCACUCAUUUUGUGAAAUUCAUCAAGUAUCUCUCCGCGGUCUACUAGGUGCCCUUUCUGUAUAUAUGUUGGAACAAAACCUGGUGUUUCCACACAACCUCUUAUUCUGUAAGUGCGAAACAAUGAAAAUGGCUCUGACCAAUCCACAAAACACUUUUUAGCAUGUCCUGUGUAUGUUAAAGCCAGUGGCGGGCUGUGCAUUUCACACCUAGGCCUUCAGUGGUGCUCUGUCUGCAUCAAUCCACCCCACAAUAACUAUUUUAUGGCUAUAAAAACCUCUUCUUAUGCAGAAAUGCAGUAUAAAGAGGCGUUGAAUCACAGACAGAUAACUCAUGUAGCCAUGAUAAACGCUUUUACUGAAGAAACAAACCCGGGGUGCGCAAGUCUCCUACUGCAGCGACAGCUGCCACACACAUAAAAAAGCAUCAAUAAUAACUUCAUAAAAUCGCAAUAUUAUUUAGGAAAAUAGCAACAUUUUACUCACCAGACAUUCUGAUUAUUUGUAUAUGAAAUCCAUUCUCCUUUCUUUCCUCAAAAAGAGUUCAAUUACUCUGUCUUACAGAUUAUCCGUGCGCUUCAGUUUCAUCAAGAAGUCCUUUCUAUCGCCAUCAACACUAAAGCUGAAAGUCGAGCCUGCCCUGUUGUGUUUCUGGCAUAAGUUUUAAUUCACUUUAGGGCUGAAAAUGUCCGCUCGACUGAAGCAGUGGACACGGGGAUUGUCACCGCCAAACACACAAAUGUGUGGAGCUCCGUUUCCCUACGCCGCUCAGCUGUCGAUCCACUCUGGUUUCCCCAAAAUUUUUUGAAAGCACCGUUGCUUGUAAGGGUGCUUUCACACCUGUUAGUCCGUUAGAGUGGUUCGUUUGGACCCAAAAGUUGUUACAAUGUUGCUAUUUUCAACUGGUUCAUUUCGCAUUCACACCAGUGUUUUCACAGUUGAACCAACUACGAUGAAUGUUAUAUCUCCCCCCAGUCGUUUGGCGGCGCUGUUCACAAAAUAAGGUGUUUUAGAUGACGUAGGUGAACGCUGAUUGGCGCAGCAUGUGAAGAGGGAAAAAUCCUGGAAGAAAACAACAGGCUGUGUUUAUUCCAUGGAUCGAGGUUUAUUUGUAAACAAUGAACUAUGCUCUCCUGUUCGUUCUUGUUGCCAUAUAUUCGUAUCAUUGCUUUAUGCAGCAAGCACAAAUACUGCUGUUGUUCCAGCAUGAAGCUCGCAUUCGGUACGAGAACAUUACACAGUCGUUUUUGGCAUGGAGAAGAUGCAUUGCAAGACGUUAUCGGAGAAAGCGGGUGAUGCUCCACAACCUGUGCAGGUUGCUACGGAACCUCCCGUAGACCAAAAAGUCUGCUGCACCAUCAAGUCGGUCCAAAUGGAGACAGGUUUGUGUUCUCACCAGGAGCGAACCGAACCGAACUGGAGUUCACAUAGAAGCGGACCGAGACCACCUCCCGAAGGUGGUCUCGGUCCGGUUCUUUAGUCCGAACCAAAAAAAUCUGGUCUGCUUUCACACCAGCCCAAAUGAACCGUACUUGCAGGUGUUGCGGCACUUUUCCUUCUAUUUUGUAUUGUAAUUACUAGUAUUGUUGCAUAGUUCUGGUCACCACUGGCAGCAGAGUAUUACUUUAUAAUCUCCUGAUAAUGAGUUGAUGUUGAAUUGUGUUGGAUACCCAUUUUGCUACAGAUAUCGUUAAUUCGUGCCAAAGAUUAAUGAGCAUUGGUCAUUUUCAGUGAAUUAGAACUCAGUGCUCCCUUACAAACCCUUUGAGAGGAAACAGUGCUGUGCUGUUCCACAACAGUUACUACUGCAGUGACAUAAUUGAGUCUUACCACAGUGCUAAUGCUAGUUUGAAUACAGCCUUACUAUGACAAUGAAAACUGUUGACUUGUGCUGUCAGCUGUGAAAAAAACAUCUUUGUAAUGGCAUAAUUUAUGCAUCCUAAAGCUUUCUUCUUCUCCGAAGCGCUUAAAUAAGACUACUGAUAAUAGUGCUUUUAUUAUGAGAGUGAAGAACACAUUUUUAAGAGUUUCCUUGUGUUUGGCCUUUGAUUUUCAAUACCUAAACUUGUGCCCUCAGUGCUCCAUUGACUCAGCUUUGCUAUAACCUGCAGCCUGCCGUGUCAGGACUCAACCUUGAUCUGUAUUCAAGUUCACGGCUUUAGUUCAUCAUCCUAUGAGUGCAAAAGGGAGAGCUACGAAGGAAGAUGAAGGAUGGAGGUGUAGUGGGAACUCACAGUGUGUGGUCCUGAAGGUUGAAUGAGGAGGGGGGGUGGAUGAACUUUUGGAGAUUUGCAGAGUUCAAUAGCAUGAUCAUGCCACUCUAUUUUUUAUACAAUCCAGAGAACCCCAAUCUUCAAUGGCUCUGCUCUGGAAAGGUCCUUCACUAAUCUGGCCUGGACUUCAUCAGAUCUGGUCAGCUUGAUAAAUGAACUACUUACGUAAUUCACAAAUUAAUCCAGUUCAUCUUGUUUGAAGGACAGAGUUUGUUCACACAAACUUUGUAACUCCCUUCUUUAAUGCAAAUUAUUUUAGAUAUACAUAUUUGUUCCCUGAUGUACACACAAACAGGUUUCCUUCAGUUUACAUGAACUAUUUCCAGGCACUGAAGUAUGUAUAUAGGGCUAUAUUUUUAAGAUUGAUUACACAACACAUGCUGUGGUAUUUUAGAAUAAAUUGCACAGUUGUAUAAACAAUAUUUCUGUAUAUGUACAUUCUGUAUUCUGUAUGUUUUUAUGUAUUUUCUUAGGAAUACUGUUGUACGUUUUCAAGUCUUUCACAGCUUUAUCUGAAGCACACAAAAGCAUUAAACUGGCAAGAUUCUAUAUUUCUCUUAGAGUCAACGAGUCCCAUGAAAAGUCUAAAACCAACAAUUAACCAAUCUGACUAUGUCCCCUAGCAAAAGCCUUACUUAUUUUAGUCUUUGUGCCACCGAGCGCCACUGUUAUCUAAAGAGAAGAAUAUUUAAGACACAUCAGUGAGCUGUACUAUUACGCUUGGUAAAACAAACAUACACACUUUAUUUUCUGCUAGAGAUACUCACGAGAACACCAAAUGCCAAUUAAUCAUCUGAUAAAAAAAUAUUCUGAACAAAUUCAAUUACAUAUUUGUGCUUGUUUAAAGCUGCACUAUUGAACAUUACAUACACCGUCUACUCAGCACUAAACAGGUUGGGCAAAAUCUCAGAUCCAUACAAAUGUUAAGAAGUAACUGUUACUUGUGUCUUGCUUUUGGUGGUUCCUCCAAGUGAAUAAAUUAUCAGUUAAUGCAGUUUUAAACCUGCAAUAAUUGACAAUUUGACAUAUUUUGAUACAGUUUUGUGAUAUAAUAUCAGCUAUAGAUGCAUUUAAGAUAUAGCUCUUUAAUAAAAAUAAUGGGUUAGUUGCUUAUAGCCACAGAGAUACUAAUGUAGUAUUGGUGUUUUCAUAGUAUUUGAAACAGAUAUAGAAUAUUUUUUAUUCAAAAUUAUAGGAUUCUUAGUCUAGUAGGUCAAAGGGAAUACAUAUUGUUUAUGUACACAUACAGCAUACACUUGGAGUUGUUGUGGUCACAGGUAUUACAAAUAGAACCCAUGUUUUGGAUCCUUUUGUCAUUUUCUGUUUGUCCUUUUUGGUGAACCUUCUUGCAUCUCUUUUUGCAUCUCUUAAUGUUUAUUUUGCAUCCAUUUGGGAUCCACUUUACAUCUCUUUAUAGUUGUUUUUGUGUCUUUUUGUAGCUGUUUGGCAUAUCUCUGUAUCUGUUUUACAUCUCUCUUGUUUUUUUUUUUUGCAUCUCUGCUUGUUUGUUUUGCAUCUUUGGUAGUUGUUUUUCAUCCGUGUAGUUACUUUGUAUUUCUGUUUACUUAUUUUGCAUCUACUUUAGUUGUUUUGCAUUUUUGUAGUUAUUUUGCAUCUCUCUCAAUUUGUUUAACUCUCUGCAGUCACACUGUGUCCAUUUGAAUUCUUUUUGCCUCAUAUUGUACUCCAUUUUGCAUCUCUUUGUGUUUGUUUUUUUUUUUUUUGGUCUCUUUGUAGCCGCUCUUUCUAGAGUGUCUGCAUCUCUUUGUGGCUGUUUUUUGUCUCAUGUUUACUUUUUGUCUCUUUAUUUUUGUUCAGUUUUUUUUUGUAGACAUUUUGUGAUCAUCCUGUAUUUCAAUAUGAUCACACUGGGAUGUUUUGCACUUUAUGACCAGACACUGUCUGAACCUCGUGGCCACCUGGACCUUUACCAGAUACAGUAACUCCAUUCAGUGUUCCAUCAACAAGUAUAAGGAAUAAUACAGAUUUACUUUUACAUUGAUAAUGAAACCUAUCGACAGGUUUUCUCCUUUUCACAAUGUAUUAUAAGUCUUCUACUGUACUCUGUGGUGAAAGGAUGUAGUUAAAAGUGCUUUAUACAGCCAGUGCGUGUAUAUGUGCAUGGAUGCAUGGAUGUAAUGGGAGGGGACAUCAAUUCACUGCAGAAAUGCCAUGCGAUGAUGGUAAUGGUAGGAGCAGAGAGUAAUGAAGGAAUUGAUCUCCACUCUGCAGUAAGCGCUUGACAUUUCAACCAAAGCCUUGAGCACCUCACCUCCCCAUACAACCCCCGCCAUCCCCCCUGCUUAAAUACCUCUCUCCUCGCUUUUUCUUUUCUCCUUUGACCCGUUAACACGUAGGUUUGCUCCACUUUUCCGCCGCACAGUCAACUUCUUCCACACUUUGCCUCUGUGUCAUUUCAAACUUUAAUCGCUGUCGUUCUCCUUCUACCUUUACUGUGAUAAUUUCUUUCUCUCCUGUUCUCUCAGCCUGUCACACUAUCAGGUACACUCCCUUCUUUUUCCAUAUCUCUUCGUCUUUCUCUUUUUUCUCAUUCAGUCACACACACACGCACACACACACACACAUACACACAAGGACAGAUACACACAGGCAAACACACACACACCCCGAGCCACUGGUCCCAUGGGUCAGCCCAUAUUAGCUUACUUGUUAAUACUUGGACGGCUCAGGAUCAAUACUUAAUCAACAAGUAAUGGGAUUCCUCAGUCAUCCCAUAUGAUCUUUCAAUAAAGACUUGAAUCUGUCUCGCCCAGACCUCCCAAUCACUCCUCCCCCUCCUCCCUACUGGGGCAUCGCCAUGGACGAGCGAGAGCAGAACGUGAGAGUGAGAGCUCCGUCUCGUUCUCACCGUGCAGGUGGAGGAGGAGCUGGAGGCAAACUGCAGGUGUGGACCAAAUCAGACUUUCAUUCGUGUGGAUGUUUACAUAUGCAAAGACCCAAACAUACAGUAAUAAAAGUGGUCCUGCAUGUUUAUUGCAUUCCAGAAUUUGUAAGAUUAGGCACACUCUGUGUUACAGCAGGUUAUAUAGUGUCAGGACGAAGAUGAACAAGACUGAGAGAUGGAUAUGAAAGCCUGGAAAAGUGCACAUUUUUUACAUAUAUACAACUGUCAGCUCUGUAAAUAUGUUUUUUUCUGUAUUGCUGGGCCAUGUAAUGCCUUUAUUAGCAUUGUAGAAAAAUAACUAAAAAUAGAGCGAGAUAAAGGGCAGGACCUGAAACAAAGAAAAAUACAUUUGGUCAAAAUUCAGUUAGAAUCACUACCUGAUUUUCUCUCUUUCUUGUUUUUAAAUUUUACUUUAUUUGAUUAUGUUUUACUAUUCUAAAGAUUAAGUUGUAGAAAUGUGUAAUAGCCUGUGCUGCACUGUGAAAUAGAAAGACAACUAAUAGUCAAGCUAAAGUAGGAUGUCUAAAGGCAGCUUGUUAUAUACCCCAGGCCUUAGAUUCAGCUAAACUAAGGAACAUUUUGUUACUGUUUUCACUUGCCAUCGGAUAUUGGAAAAUGUCUAUGUUAAUCAAAUCGCAGAUUGGUGUUUCACUUUGUUAUUCAAAAUAAUUAAACAAGGCAGCAGCUAAAUUUGUUCAUGAUUUUGAAGGAAGAAGAAGGUUCUGGUGGGGGCUGGGCAGGCGGGGUUGGGCUUGGGUGGCGGGUGGGUCCUCGUGCCCCAGGCUGCCUGGGUCGGUCUUGGCGUGCUGGGGAUGUCGGUAGCUGCUCCCUCUUGUUCUCAGAGUCUGUGUUGUACACGGUGGCCCUGGUGGCUCUCUGGGUGUGCCGCCGUGUAGCUCCUGUGACUCAGUGGGGGUUGGGGUGGGGGGUACCCUGUUAUCUUGGCCCUGCCUUGCCAUGAUGGCUGUUCUGGGCUUCAGGGUCCUUCACGCUAGAAUGUUUGAUCAGGUCUCACCAGCUCCUGUUAGUCCCACUGUUGAGCAAUGAGUGGACAUCACCAGAAUGUGCUGAGACUCUCUCCAGAGUCUCUACACUAAACUCAUUCUCUCUUUCUCUAGUAUCUUCUUCUGGCCUAUUCUAUUCUAUACUGUCAAGACAUACACAUUUAUGGUGUUCAAUACUGUGUGCUUAUUUAUUUAUUUUUUGAGUUUUUUUGUUUUGUUUGUUUUUUUUGUUUUGUUGAUGGAUAACACAGCACAGCACCUGACACUCUUCAGUUGUUAUAGCGAUGCUUGCUAUUUCCUAUCACUGUUUGUCCUGUUUCGUCCUGUCCACUCUUUGUUUCCCUGCACGUCACUGAGGUGUAGCACUGCCCUCCCUGGCUCUUCAUAGGGAAUUCUAAUAAAGAAUAUCAGCUUAGCUCUCAGGAAGGGCUGGUGAUGGUCACACGCAUGCACUAAAUCUUAAAAUAUUUGGCUGCAAGACUAAAAUAUGCAUUAAUCUCAUAAGAUGUUGACACUCUUCUCUGGAGUUGAACAAUGAGAACAAAUGCAGACAAAAAAAUUAAUAAUAAUAAUAAUAAUAAUAAUUAGCCAAUCAUGUGGCAGUACUGCAAUGCAGAAAGAAGUCAGGAGCUUCGGUUCACAGAAUGGGGAAAAAACAGGACAUGACUGUUGACUGUUUUAAGUUUUUCUGAAGUUGGUUAUUAAAACACAGUUUUAAAAGUUUACUCAGGUCGUAAAAAAUCAACAAAGAAAACAAUCCAGUUAGCAACAGUGGUGCAGACAGAAGUGUCUUGCUGAUGACAUGAGUCAGAGGAGAAUGGCUAAGCUGGUAGAAGCCGACAGAAAGGCUGUGAUCAACCAUGAAGUUUACAACAGCAGAAGACCACACCAGGUUCCUCUCCUGUCGGCCAAGAACAGAAAUCUAAACCUGCAGUGAACAGAGACUCACCAAAACUGCACAGAUGAUGGAUCAACAUUUCUGCAAUGCCAUGAAUCCACCUGCCUUGUAUGAACAGUCCAAGCUGCUGUCACAGCCAGUUGUUGCUGAGCAUGUGUAUCACAUUAAGUUUACCAUCUUCUCUUAUUCUGCUUCCUGCAGCAUAAUGUACCCUUUCACAAAGUAAAAGUUGUCUCAAGUUAGUGUCAUAAAAUGGCUGGAGUUCCAGUGGAUGGCCUUCCCCAGUCAAAUCAAAUUUGAAUCCAGUAGAACACCUGUGAGUUGUGGUAGAGUGGGACAUCAGCAGCAUGACUGUACAGCUGACAAAUCUGCAGAAAUAAUGUGAUGUUAUCAUGUCAACAUGGAGCAGAAAACCAGAGGAGGGUUUCCAGCAUUAUGUAAAAUCCAUGCCAGGAGUGUUUUGUGAGCAGUACUUGUGUGGAGUUCCUAACAAAGUGCUCUCAAGAUGGCUGAUGGUUUUAAAAGCAGAUUUACCACAAAAGACUGAAAAUAUUAAAACAGACCACUAAAAUUUUUUGGUCCAUGAAAGAUAAUAGAUUUGGUUCAACGUCCUCAUGAGAGAGAACAAAAAAAUCACUGCCAAAUCAUUCAUUCUCUGGAAUUGACAGACUCGUUAAUUAAAUUGUGGGUCUCUGUUGUAUGUUUGGCCUAUAGAUAGCAUGUGUCUCUUCAUAGGGUGAGUUUUUACUAGUUUUUGAAGCUCAGCACCUAGAACAAAUACAGCCUAAAGGUAUUUUGAAAAGUUACCAUUGUCUAGUAGGAAAACACAAAAAAAAAGACCUGAAAACACAUUCUUGGCCGGAUUUUAACCACAAUGGGACACUUAAACUCUCCACUGAAAUCCACACUAAUAAAAAGUAGCUCAGUCAGGACUGAAUGAAAACAGAGUCUCAGACACAUCUUGGACAGGUUGGCCCUUCUUCAAACAAUAAGAAAGGCAAGCGAAGUUUAACUGUUCAGUCAAAGAGGCAGCCGGUAGAAACAAAAAAACAAAAAAAAAACUGUUUGGUGUACAGUAGGUCCAAAUGGAGAUAUUCGUUUCUCCUUCAGCUCAGCUUUGUGAGGAUAGGAACACAUUAUUUUUUACAUUUAAAUCCAAAUGUUUUACUUUUUAACUCUUUUUAAAGUCUUUGAAGAUGCAUUUAUAAACAGACACAACGCCCCCAGCUUGCCAACCUUUUAAUCCAAGAAAAAAAAGAAGCAUUUAACUUUAAUCCAAUGCAUGCUAGAGGCUAUAUGCAAAUGAUUUCACAAUUUUUAAAAAAUGAUAUAAUUUGAUGACUUCAAGAAAUGAUCUCUUGGACAUUUUGUCAACUAAAUUCAGAAUUAUACCUUUUUUUCCUAUUUCUUUUCAAAAAAUUUCCAAAAUGACACCAUUUAUCAGAGCGAGAUGUGAUAAAAAUUUGAGACAAUCAUUGACUGUUCAACUUCUUCGUGGCCCUUGCUUAUCAUGUGUGAUGUGCAGUUCCAACAGGAAAACCAAACUUAAAAUUGUUAUAUUUUAUUUAAAUCACCUUAUUCUACAUCAUUCCAUGUGUUCACUCAAAAGUUCAUCAAAUACUGUUUGCACCAGAUCCUGUAAGAAAUUUAAAAAGAAACCAAAACCUGUUCACUCAGCAAACUGAGGAGUCAUGACCAACUCAGCUGAGACCAGCAGUCAUGUAAAUUCAGACACUUUUUGGCUAAACUGUAGGUUCAGGGAGGAUAUGACAAAAGAUGUUUGGAGAUAAAUAAAAUGUACCUGAUCAACAAAUACAAUACUCAAAAACAGUGUCCAGUGGAGCCAGUUAUUGAAAGAUACAUUCAGCAUAGAGAAAUAUCUUUCCAGAGCUGAUGUGCAGAACAAUGUGAAAAUCCAGCAUUUGUAAAGGUUUUCAAAAUGUAAACAGUAAAAUAUGUAUAGCAUGUAGAGUUCCUCAGUAUUGUCAACACCUUUGGAAAAAUGACUGAUUUCUAUAUUUGUGUUUAUUCAGUUUUGUGAAGUAAAUAAUCAAAGAAACUCAACUGUUUAAAGCUUUUUUUCAUAUUUAAUCAUUUAUGGCAUUUUGUUCCAUGACACAAAAUGCAUUAUUGAGUUGUCUCUACUUCUACACAGGGUUGUACUGUUUCCAUGUGAAAAAUAAGAUUUCACAAUACAACAAUACAAAGGACAAAGUAAACUCUGUGUGAAGACAGUUUUUUGUUUUUGUUUUCCUGCACUUGGCUGUCUUAGUUUGUUGGCACAACGACAAUAUUUACUUUGAAUUGUGAUUAAUUAAGUUUUUAAGGCCAACAUUUUUGUCAAGUUGUAGUUUUAUGCUACACUAGGUGAAUUAGAAUUACAGUAUUUCAUGCCCCUGACCUUUGACCUCCUUAAUCCAGUCUCCUUGUAAUCUCUUGGCACGAUCCUGGAAUGUUUUCUAACGUUGCUCUCAUUGCAAGUUACUCCACAUAAAUGUGUCGGCUAAAUGCCUGAGAAGAAAAAGUAAAAUGUAAAUGCACUGUACAAAAAGCUGUGUUCCUGUAUUACGUUGAGCAGCCUUCGACAUGGGUGCAGUGUGAUAAAUCCCUGCAGAGUCGCAUGCUAAACAGCUUCAACCUGGCUGCAGUCAGCCAGCUCCCUGUAAACAGGCUUUGUGUCACCAUUGUCAUAUCGCAGCACCAUUAAUAUACAUGAGAGUCUGAGGCCUUUAAGACGCUUCACAGAGAGCGAAAGAGCUGGCAGCCUCCUCUCUCCUCUUUGUUACUAUCUCUCUUCUCUUUCUCUAUCCCUCCUCUCCCCUCCUUCCUUUAUUUCAUGUUCUUUUUCUCUCUUCCACUUUCCUUGGCACUUUAACUCAGCUCCUCUUGCUAUCUUGUUCUUUCUUUGCACCUUCUUACUUGUUUUCUUUUUCUCUUUUCUUAGUUCAGUCUUCUGCUUUCCGAUUUUAGAAUGCAGACUUUUUUCCUUUUUGACUAAAUGAAAUCACUUUUCUUCCCCUUCUCACCUUUUUUGGUUCCCUUUUCUUCUCUUUUGACUUCUUGCUCUUAUUUUCUUCCUUUCAGGCUGAAUCCAAGGGUUUACGUUUCCUUACAUUUGCAGAGUUGCAGAUGUAACAGAUUUAGAGGCACAUAUCCAUGAAGUCCAGAGUGCCCUCUGAAAGCCCACACAGGCAUCUCAAACACUUUCUGUGGACUUCAUGUACAUCCACUAGCUGUGGCUGCAGAAAAAUCCUGAUCGCUACAGAUGUGAUGAUGUCAGAUUAUUAUUACUAGAAGAUGCAUUAGUAACAGAGGUGAGGACUCGAGUCAAUGAACUUGAAUUCAUGAAUAUAAUGACCCUAAAAAACUUGAGUUGUAACUCUUCCACUCAGAAAAGUGUUUUUGGUCUUCUACAGAAACUGUAACAUUUCUCUGAUUAAAAGAUUUUUUAAAAAACAGAUUUAAGGUGAUGGUAACUCUAAAUUGUAGGUGCGAAUGUGAGUAUGAUUGUUUGUCUCUCUGUGUAGUCCUGUGAUAGACUGGUGACCUGUCCAAGGCGUCCCCUGCCUUCACCCUCAGUAAGCUGGGAUACACUCCAGGCCCUAAUGAGGAUUAAGCAGUGUAUAGAUAAUGGAUGGAUGCAUAUUUAAAUUGGGUUCGCAAGCAAUGUUUGUGAUAUCCCUAUUAGUCUUCAAGCCAAACUUGUCCAAUAGGUGAUUUACACCAGCAUGAUGUGGCAACUUGAACACUGAACAUGAUUCAGGAGACUCAGGACACAUCUUGUAUCUGGAAGUGAAACAUUUUCAAAGAAAAAUAUUUGCAUAUUUGUAGAUUUUCAAUUUUUUAAAGAGGAACGAUGUCUAUAAUACUCAAUCAGGAAAAUCUGACUUUUUUAGUGACAAAACCAUAUGUGACAUUUGUAUUUCUUUGAACAAGAUCUGUACAUUGUGUUGUGUGAGCAGAGCAGAUUACAGAUGUCACUCUAGACAGAGUUUAUGUUGUUAACAUUAAAUAUUUUGGCUCAA